GACGGGUAACGGGGAAUUAGGGUUCGAUUCCGGAGAGGGAGCAUGAGAAACGGCUACCACAUCUACGGAAGGCAGCAGGCGCGCAAAUUACCCACUCCUAGAACGGGGAGGUAGUGACGAAAAAUAACAAUACCGGACUCAAUGAGGCUCGGUAAUUGAAAUGAGUACGGUUUAAAACCCUUAACGAGGAUCUAUUGGAGGGCAAGUCUGGUGCCAGCAGCCGCGGUAAUUCCAGCUCCAAUAGCGUAUAUUAAAGUUGUUGCAGUUAAAAAGCUCGUAGUUGGAUCUCGGGUACUAGCAUGUGGUACGCUUUUUUGCUGUUACUACAUGUCUGGUCCUAAUCAACCGGUUGGCCGUUGAUGCCCUUUAUUGGGUGUUUUCGGUAGCCGGUACGUUUACUUUGAGAAAAUUAGAGUGCUUAAAGCAGGCCUUAAGCCUGAAUAAUGUUGCAUGGAAUAAUAGAAUAGGACCUCGGUUCUAUUUUGUUGGUUUUGUAGAGCAUUGAGGUAAUGAUUAAUAGGGACAGACGGGGGCAUUCGUAUUGCGGUGUUAGAGGUGAAAUACUUGGAUCGCCGCAAGACGAACAACUGCGAAAGCAUUUGCCAAGAAUGUUUUCAUUAAUCAAGAACGAAAGUUGGAGGUUCGAAGACGAUUAGAUACCGUCCUAGUUCCAACCAUAAACGAUGCCAACUAGCGAUUAGCUGCUGUUAUUUUUACGACACAGCUAGCAGCUUCCGGGAAACCAAAGUUUUUGGGUUCCGGGGGAAGUAUGGUUGCAAAGCUGAAACUUAAAGGAAUUGACGGAAGGGCACCACCAGGAGUGGAGCCUGCGGCUUAAUUUGACCCAACACGGGAAAUCUCACCCGGCCCGGACACUGUAAGGAUUGACAGAUUGAGAGCUCUUUCUUGAUUCGGUGGGUGGUGGUGCAUGGCCGUUCUUAGUUGGUGGAGCGAUUUGUCUGGUUAAUUCCGAUAACGAACGAGACUCUAGCCUGCUAAAUAGUACGUCGAUCUUUAGUCGGCGCGUACUUCUUAGAGGGACAAGUAGCGGUAAGCUACACGAAAUUGAGCAAUAACAGGUCUGUGAUGCCCUUAGAUGUUCGGGGCCGCACGCGCGCUACACUGAAGGGAUAAGCGUGUUUUUCCUGCUCCGAAAGGAGUGGGCAAUCCGCUGAAACCCCUUCGUGAUUGGGAUCGGGGCUUGAAAUUAUUCUCCGUGAACGAGGAAUUCCCAGUAAGCGCGAGUCAUAAGCCCGCGUUGAUUACGUCCCUGCCCUUUGUACACACCGCCCGUCGCUACUACCGAUUGAAUGGUUUAGUGAGAUCUUCGGAUUGGUCCGGAGGUGUCCGCAAGGUCGCCUCUAGGUGCCGAGAAGAUGAUCAAACUUGAUCAUUUAGAGGAAGUAGAAGUCGUAACAAGGUU
rnacentral:rRNA from 1 species